GAUGAAGAACGUAGCGAAAUGCGAUAAGUAGUGUGAAUUGCAGAAUUCAGUGAAUCAUCGAAUCUUUGAACGCACAUUGCGCCCUUUGGUAUUCCUUAGGGCAUGCCUGUUCGAGCGUCAUUUAAACCUUCAAGCUAAGCUUGGUGUUGGGUGACUGUCCGCUUCACGGCGGACUCGUCUCAAAAUUAUUGGCGGCCGGUACAUUGGCUUCGAGCGCAGCAGAAACGCGAACUCGGGCCCGUCGUAUUGGCUCCCAGAAGCUAUCUUCACAAUUUUGACCUCGGAUCAGGUAGGGAUACCCGCUGAACUUAAGCAUAUCAAUAAGCGGAGGA
rnacentral:misc_RNA from 1 species